rnacentral:rRNA from 1 species
CCGGCCCAGCUCCUACGGGAGCAGCAGUGGGGAAUUUUGAACAAUGGCGCAAGCCUGAUCCAGCAUGCCGCGUGCAGAGAAGACCUUCGGGUGUAAACUGCUUUGUCAGGGAAGAAAUCUUCUGGGCUAAUACCCCGGGAGGAUGACGGUACCUGAAGAAUAAGCACCGGCUAACUACGUGUCAGCAGCCGCGGUAAUACGUAGGGUGCGAGCGUUAAUCGGAAUUACUGGGCGUAAAGCGUGCGCAGGCGGCUUUGCAAGACAGAGGUGAAAUCCCCGGGCUCAACCUGGGAACUGCCUUUGUGACUGCAAGGCUAGAGUACGGCAGAGGGGGAUGGAAUUCCGCGUGUAGCAGUGAAAUGCGUAGAUAUGCGGAGGAACACCGAUGGCGAAGGCAAUCCCCUGGGCCUGUACUGACGCUCAUGCACGAAAGCGUGGGGAGCAAACAGGAUUAGAUACCCUGGUAGUCCACGCCCUAAACGAUGUCAACUGGUUGUUGGACGGCUUGCUGUUCAGUAACGAAGCUAACGCGUGAAGUUGACCGCCUGGGGAGUACGGCCGCAAGGUUGAGACUCAAAGGAAUUGACGGGGACCCGCACAAGCGGUGGAUGAUGUGGUUUAAUUCGAUGCAACGCGAAAAACCUUACCUACCCUUGACAUGCUAGGAAUUCUGCAGAGAUGUGGAAGUGCUCGAAAGAGAACCUAGACACAGGUGCUGCAUGGCCGUCGUCAGCUCGUGUCGUGAGAUGUUGGGUUAAGUCCCGCAACGAGCGCAACCCUUGUCAUUAGUUGCUACGAAAGGGCACUCUAAUGAGACUGCCGGUG